rnacentral:rRNA from 1 species
AGGAUUAACGCUGGCGGCGUGCCUAACACAUGCAAGUCGAACGAGGUAGCAAUACCUAGUGGCAGACGGGUGAGUAGCGCGUGGUCAACCUACCGUUGAGUGGGGGAUAACUAGCCGAAAGGUUAGCUAAUACCGCAUACGUCUCCGAGGGGCAUCCCUUGGUGAUAAAAGGAGCAAUCCGCUCGAUGACGGGACCGCGUCCCAUUAGCUAGUUGGUGGGGUAACGGCCUACCAAGGCAUCGAUGGGUAGCUGGUUUGAGAGAGCGACCAGCCACACUGGGACUGAGAUACGGCCCAGACUCCUACGGGAGGCAGCAGUGAGGAAUUUUCCGCAAUGGGCGAAAGCCUGACGGAGCGACGCCGCGUGUGGGAAGAAGGCCUUCGGGUCGUAAACCACUGUCGGAAGGGGAAGAUAAUGACGGUACCCUUGGAGGAAGCCCCGGCUAACUACGUGCCAGCAGCCGC